UACAGAGGGUGCGAGCGUUGUCCGGAAUCACUGGGCGUAAAGGGCGCGUAGGUGGCGCCCCAAGUCGAUGGUGAAAGCUCGCCGCUCAACGGCGAGUCGGCCACCGAUACUGGGGGGCUUGAGCACUGUAGAGGCAGAUGGAAUUCCGGGUGUAGCGGUGGAAUGCGUAGAGAUCCGGAAGAACACCGGUGGCGAAGGCGGUCUGCUGGGCAGUUGCUGACACUGAGGCGCGACAGCGUGGGGAGCAAACAGG
rnacentral:rRNA from 1 species